rnacentral:rRNA from 1 species
GGUCUGGCGGCGAGUGGCGAACGGGUGAGUAAUGCAUCGGAACGUACCUUUCAGUGGGGGAUAACGUAGCGAAAGUUACGCUAAUACCGCAUAUUCUGUGAGCAGGAAAGCAGGGGAUCGCAAGACCUUGCGCUGACGGAGCGGCCGAUGUCAGAUUAGCUAGUUGGUGGGGUAAAGGCUCACCAAGGCGACGAUCUGUAGCGGGUCUUAGAGGAUGAUCCGCCACACUGGAACUGAGACACGGUCCAGACUCCUACGGGAGGCAGCAGUGGGGAAUUUUGGACAAUGGGCGCAAGCCUGAUCCAGCCAUGCCGCGUGAGUGAAGAAGGCCUUCGGGUUGUAAAGCUCUUUCGGCCGGGAAAAAAUCGCUUGGGUUAAUACCCUGAGUGGAUGAUGGUACCGGAAUAAGAAGCACCGGCUAACUACGUGCCAGCAGCCGCGGUAAUACGUAGGGUGCGAGCGUUAAACGGAAUUACUGGGCGUAAAGCGUGCGCAGGCGGUUUUGUAAGACAGGCGUGAAAUCCCCGGGCUCAACCUGGGAACUGCGUUUGUGACUGCAAGGCUAGAGUAUGGCAGAGGGGGGUGGAAUUCCACGUGUAGCAGUGAAAUGCGUAGAGAUGUGGAGGAACACCAAUGGCGAAGGCAGCCCCCUGGGCCAAUACUGACGCUCAUGCACGAAAGCGUGGGGAGCAAACAGGAUUAGAUACCCUGGUAGUCCACGCCCUAAACGAUGUCAACUAUGUGUUGGGUGGGUAAAACCAUUUGGUACCGUAGCUAACGCGUGAAGUUGACCGCCUGGGGAGUACGGCCGCAAGGUUAAAACUCAAAGGAAUUGACGGGGACCCGCACAAGUGUGGAUGAUGUGGAUUAAUUCGAUGCAACGCGAAAAACCUUACCUACCCUUGACAUGCCAGGAACUUGCCAGAGAUGGCUUGGUGCCCGAAAGGGAGCCUGGACACAGGUGCUGCAUGGCUGUCGUCAGCUCGUGUCGUGAGAUGUUGGGUUAAGUCCCGCAACGAGCGCAACCCUUGUCGUUAAUUGCCAUCAUUUAGUUGGGCACUUUAACGAGACUGCCGGUGACAAACCGGAGGAAGGUGGAUGACGUCAAGUCCUCAUGGCCCUUAUGGGUAGGGCUUCACACGUCAUACAAUGGUCGGUACAAAGGGUUGCCAAGCCGCGAGGCGGAGCCAAUCCCAGAAAGCCGAUCGUAGUCCGGAUCGCAGGCUGCAACUCGCCUGCGUGAAGUCGGAAUCGCUAGUAAUCGUGGAUCAGCAUGUCACGGUGAAUACGUUCCCGGGUCUUGUACACACCGCCCGUCACACCAUGGGAGCGGGUUCCGCCAGAAGUAGGUAGCCUAACCGCAAGGAGGGCGCUUACCACGGCG